GUGCUCUGAUGCUUAUUGCACCACAUGUGUUUUUCUUUGAAACAAACUUGCUUUGGCGGUGGGCCCAGCCUGCCGCCAGAGGUCUAAACUUACAACCAAUUUUUUAUCAACUUGUCACACCAGAUUAUUACUAAUAGUCAAAACUUUCAACAACGGAUCUCUUGGUUCUCGCAUCGAUGAAGAACGCAGCGAAAUGCGAUACGUAAUAUGAAUUGCAGAUAUUCGUGAAUCAUCGAAUCUUUGAACGCACAUUGCGCCCUCUGGUAUUCCGGAGGGCAUGCCUGUUUGAGCGUCGUUUCUCCCUCAAACCGCUGGGUUUGGUGUUGAGCAAUACGACUUGGGUUUGCUUGAAAGACGGUAGUGGUAAGGCGGGAUCGCUUUGACAAUGGCUUAGGUCUAACCAAAAACAUUGCUUGCGGCGGUAACGUCUACCACGUAUAUCUUCAAACUUUGACCUCAAAUCAGGUAGGACUACCCGCUGAACUUAAGCAUAUCAAAA
rnacentral:rRNA from 1 species